rnacentral:rRNA from 1 species
AUUGAACGCUGGCGGCAUGCUUUACACAUGCAAGUCGAACGGCAACGAGGAGAAGCUUGCUUCUCUGUCGGCGAGUGGCGAACGGGUGAGUAUAGCAUCGGAACUUGCCAAGUAGUGGGGGAUAACCAAACGAAAGUUUGGCUAAUACCGCGUAAGCUCCAAGGCGGAAAGUAGGGGACCUAAAUAAGGCCUUACGCUAUUUUAUCGGCCGAUGUCGGAUUAGCUAGUUGGUGGGGUAAUGGCUCACCAAGGCAAUGAUCCGUAGCGGGUCUGAGAGGACGAUCCGCCACACUGGGACUGAGACACGGCCCAGACUCCUACGGGAGGCAGCAAUGGGGAAUUUUGGACAAUGGGGGAAACCCUGAUCCAGCCAUGCCGCGUGUAUGAAGAAGGCCUUAGGGUUGUAAAGUACUUUUGUUAGGGAAGAAAAGCUAGUUUUUAAUAAAAAUUAGUGAUGACGGUACCUAAAGAAUAAGCACCGGCUAACUACGUG